AAAUAUCUUCGGGGCAAGGUGGAAUCCCUGACCGGCAGUGACAGUCUGCGAACUGCAAGAGCAGCCGAAACGGUGUAAUCCCGUUACCGACGGUAAAAGUCCGGAUGAGAGAAGAUAUGA
rfam:Clostridium sp. CAG:242 genomic scaffold, scf249